rnacentral:rRNA from 1 species
GCGUAAAGAGCUCGUAGGCGGCUUGUCACGUCGGUUGUGAAAGCCCGGGGCUUAACCCCGGGUCUGCAGUCGAUACGGGCAGGCUAGAGUUCGGUAGGGGAGAUCGGAAUUCCUGGUGUAGCGGUGAAAUGCGCAGAUAUCAGGAGGAACACCGGUGGCGAAGGCGGAUCUCUGGGCCGAUACUGACGCUGAGGAGCGAAAGCGUGGGGAGCGAACAGGAUUAGAUACCCUGGUAGUCCACGCCGUAAACGGUGGGCACUAGGUGUGGGCAACAUUCCACGUUGUCCGUGCCGCAGCUAACGCAUUAAGUGCCCCGCCUGGGGAGUACGGCCGCAAGGCUAAAACUCAAAGGAAUUGACGGGGGCCCGCACAAGCGGCGGAGCAUGUGGCUUAAUUCGACGCAACGCGAAGAACCUUACCAAGGCUUGACAUACACCGGAAACGGCCAGAGAUGGUCGCCCCCUUGUGGUCGGUGUACAGGUGGUGCAUGGCUGUCGUCAGCUCGUGUCGUGAGAUGUUGGGUUAAGUCCCGCAACGAGCGCAACCCUUGUCCCGUGUUGCCAGCAAGCCCUUCGGGGUGUUGGGGACUCACGGGAGACCGCCGGGGUCAACUCGGAGGAAGGUGGGGACGACGUCAAGUCAUCAUGCCCCUUAUGUCUUGGGCUGCACACGUGCUACAAUGGCCGGUACAAUGAGCUGCGAUACCGCGAGGUGGAGCGAAUCUCAAAAAGCCGGUCUCAGUUCGGAUUGGGGUCUGCAACUCGACCCCAUGAAGUCGGAGUCGCUAGUAAUCGCAGAUCAGCAUUGCUGCGGUGAAUACGUUCCCGGGCCUUGUACACACCGCCCGUCACGUCACGAAAGUCGGUAACACCCGAAGCCGGUGGCCCAACCCCUUGUGGGAGGGAGCUGUCGAAGGUGGGACUGGCGAUUGGGACGAAGUCGUAACAAGGUAGCCGUACCGGAAGGUGCGGCUGGAUCACCUCCUUUCUAAGGAGCACUUCUUACCGGGUCCUUCGGGACACGGUCAGAGGCCAGUACAUCGGCGAAUGUCUGAUGCUGGUUGCUCAUGGGUGGAACGUUGACUAUUCGGUCCGGACUCGGGCCGGUGGCUGCCAGUACUGCUCUUCGGAGCGUGGAACGCAUGAUCACCGGACGGGACUUGGCCGGGCACGCUGUUGGGUGUCUGAGGGUACGGCCGUAUGGCUGCCUUCAGUGCCGGCCCCAGUGCACUCGGGAGUCUCCCGGGGUGAUGGGUGGUUGGUCGUUGUUUGAGAACUGCACAGUGGACGCGAGCAUCUGUGGCCAAGUUUUUAAGGGCGCACGGUGGAUGCCUUGGCACCAGGAACCGAUGAAGGACGUGGGAGGCCACGAUAGUCCCCGGGGAGUCGUCAACCAGNNNNNNNNNNCUUCGGGGAAAGGAAAGUGGUGGAGCCGCCGGACCAAGCGGUUAGUAGGUGAGUGAUGGGGUGACGCAGGAAGGUAGUCCAUCCCGGGCGGUGGUUGUCCCGGGGUAAGGGUGUAGGCCGUGCGGUAGGUAAAUCCGUCGCACAUGUGGCUGAGACCUGAUGCCGAGCCGAUUGUGGUGAAGUGGAUGAUCCUAUGCUGUCGAGAAAAGCCUCUAGCGAGUUUCAUGGCGGCCCGUACCCUAAACCGACUCAGGUGGUCAGGUAGAGAAUACCGAGGCGUUCGGGUGAACUAUGGUUAAGGAACUCGGCAAAAUGCCCCCGUAACUUCGGGAGAAGGGGGGCCAUUCCUGGUGAUGAGAUUUUCUCUCUGAGCUGGGGGUGGCCGCAGAGACCAGCGAGAAGCGACUGUUUACUAAAAACACAGGUCCGUGCGAAGCCGUAAGGCGAUGUAUACGGACUGACGCCUGCCCGGUGCUGGAACGUUAAGGGGACCGGUUAGCUCCAUUUCGGUGGGGCGAAGCUGAGAACUUAAGCGCCAGUAAACGGCGGUGGUAACUAUAACCAUCCUAAGGUAGCGAAAUUCCUUGUCGGGUAAGUUCCGACCUGCACGAAUGGCGUAACGACUUCUCGACUGUCUCAACCAUAGGCCCGGUGAAAUUGCACUACGAGUAAAGAUGCUCGUUUCGCGCAGCAGGACGGAAAGACCCCGGGACCUUUACUACAGUUUGAUAUUGGUGUUCGGUUCGGCUUGUGUAGGAUAGCUGGGAGACUGUGAACUCUGGACGCCAGUUCAGGGGGAGUCGUCGUUGAAAUACCAGUCUGGUCGUGCUGGAUGUCUAACCUGGGUCCGUGAUCCGGAUCAGGGACAGUGUCUGAUGGGUAGUUUAACUGGGGCGGUUGCCUCCUAAAGAGUAACGGAGGCGCCCAAAGGUUCCCUCAGCCUGGUUGGCAAUCAGGUGUUGAGUGUAAGUGCACAAGGGAGCUUGACUGUGAGACCGACGGGUCGAGCAGGGACGAAAGUCGGGACUAGUGAUCCGGCGGUGGCUUGUGGAAGCGCCGUCGCUCAACGGAUAAAAGGUACCCCGGGGAUAACAGGCUGAUCUUCCCCAAGAGUCCAUAUCGACGGGAUGGUUUGGCACCUCGAUGUCGGCUCGUCGCAUCCUGGGGCUGGAGUCGGUCCCAAGGGUUGGGCUGUUCGCCCAUUAAAGCGGUACGCGAGCUGGGUUUAGAACGUCGUGAGACAGUUCGGUCCCUAUCCGCUGUGCGCGUAGGAGUCUUGAGAAGGGCUGUCCCUAGUACGAGAGGACCGGGACGGACGAACCUCUGGUGUGCCAGUUGUCCUGCCAAGGGCAUGGCUGGUUGGCUACGUUCGGGAGGGAUAACCGCUGAAAGCAUCUAAGCGGGAAGCCUGCUUCGAGAUGAGGACUCCCACCCCCUUGAGGGGUUAAGGCUCCCAGUAGACGACUGGGUUGAUAGGCCGGAUCUGGAAGCACCGCAAGGUGUGGAGGUGACCGGUACUAAUAGGCCGAGGGCUUGUCCU